GGAGACGUAUCGAAGUGGUCAUAACGAGCCGCACUCGAAAUGCGGUUACCCAUCCGGGUACGUGGGUUCGAAUCCCACCGUCUCCG
rnacentral:tRNA from 3 species